rnacentral:rRNA from 1 species
GAUUACAGUUUACAACUACCCUGAACAAACCCGAUCCCGUCUGAUCUCGGAAGCUAAGCAGGGUGGGGCCUGGUUAGUACUUGGAUGGGAGACCACCUAGGAAGACCAGGUACUGUAGGUG